rnacentral:tRNA from 1 species
UGUUGCCAGGGGGUCGCCCCUGGAAUGGCACCUGCUUUGGGAGCAGGGGGCCGCGGGUUCAAAUCCCGCCAGCCCGA